rnacentral:misc_RNA from 1 species
UAUCCGUAGGUGAACCCGCGGAAGGAUCAUUAUUGUAUAACCGAGGUGCGAGGGCUGUCGCUGACCCGAAAGGUCGUGCACGCCCGAGUGCCCUCACACAUCCAUCUCACCCCUAUGUGCACCACCGCGUGGGUCCCCCUUUGGCUUGUUCGGAGGGGGGCUUACGUUUUCACACAAACUUUGUAUGCAGUGUAGAAUGUAUUUUUUGUUUUUGCGAUCACGCAAUCAAUACAACUUUCAACAACGGAUCUCUUGGCUCUC